GUUUUAUAUAAUCAAUCUGUAAAAAAUUGUUUUCUGUUAUUCAAUAUUCCUUUUGCUGUAUAUAUAUACCUUCAAUUAUCAAUGAGAACUGUGUGAGAACAAUUCCAGAUAUUCAGUAUCCUUCAUUCGUCCAUUCCUGCUACUCCAAUUCUAGUCUCUUAGCAUGGUAUUAGAGCCUUCUCAGACCUCCAGUCUCUCUGAUCCCCCCUCAAUGGCAGCGAGUCUGUCAUCUCCCUCUUCCUCUCACUUCUUGGCUGCUCCAUCCUUCUCGCACAUCAUCACCACCAAACUCUCCACCGAUAACUACCUAUUGUGGAAUGCCCAAAUCUCAGCUUAUCUUCGUGGACAUGACCUCUUCUCUUUUGUUGACGGCUUGUCCAUCCCUCCCUUGGAAUUUCUUCCCGAUUCUUCCCAAUCGAACCUGAAACCCAAUCCCGACUAUCAUUCUUGGAGGUGUAUUGAUCAAUUGGUUCUCAACAUCCUUUUCUCCUUUCUCUCAUACUCCAUUUUAGGUCAUGUUUUGGCCUCCAAAACUUCCCAUCAGCUAUGGUCUGCAAUUUCGUCCAUGUUCUCCUCUCAAGCUUAUGCCAAAUAAUUCCAAACUCGUUUCCAACUCACAAAUCUCUCCCAAGGUGAUCAAUCCAUCUCCGAUUACGUUGGUUGAGUCUGUCUUCUUGCCGACUCCAUCGUUGCCACCGGUAACCCUCUCUCCAACAAAGAGCUAGUCACAUACCUGUUGAAUGGCCUUGGCUCCACGUACGAACACCUCGUCACCUCCAUCACCACCAGAUCCACCCCUGUUUCCUUCCACGAGCUCUACCAACUACUACUUAUCGAUGAAUCUUGGCUUGCUCUCACAAAUUGACCCAUCCCUGCAUCUAUCGAACCAGCUGCACAUUUCACUUCGUCUGCACGAGACCAACGAGGCCGUGGUCCCAAUUGUGGGGGACGCCAUGGUCGUGGCAGGGGUCGGUUCUCCGACUCUGCUCGUGGUGGCUGAUCGUCAUCUCCGUCUCAGUCUUCUCAACAUUACAACGCCCAUCGACCGAUUUGUCAGGUCUGCAACAAGGCAGGCCAUGUAGCUCUUUAGUGCUGUCAACAAUUCAACCAUGCAUAUCAAUUUGAACCUCCUAGCAAUUUCUCUGUUCACUACACCGCUCAUACUCCAUUUUAUGAAUCGGUUUGGUACCCUGAUUCUGCAGCCACUCAUCAUCUCACAAAUGAUCUCUGUAACUUGAACUUAUCUUCUGAAGCAUAUGAAGGUGGUGAGACCAUACGGUUGGGUGAUGGCAAUGGCCUUCCAAUGAAAAACUCUGGACAAGGCAACCAGGAAAAUUCUCCUCAUUGGUCCAACUCGUGAUGGUCUCCACCAAUUUCCAUUGACUACAACCAUUCUGUCAUCUCCAUCAACCCAUAUUGGCGAACGAACCUCCAUGGAUCAAUGGCAUCGAAGGCUUGGUCAUUUUUUUUAACCUUGGUCUCUAAGUCCUGCGAUCCAAGAGCCUUCCAUUAUCUCCCACUGAUUAUGUGUUUCAAUGUUCUGAAUAUCCCCUAGAAAAAUGUCAUCAGUUUUCCUUUUCCUCAAAACAGGCCCAUUAUACUAGGCCCUUACAAUCAUUAUAUGCUAACCUAUGGGGUCCAGCCCACCAUGUCUCAAGAAAUGUUUAUAAAUAUUAUCUUUAAUUUGUGGACUCCUUCACAUGCUUCACUUGGAUUUUUCCCAUCAAGUCAAAGUCUGAUGUCUUCCAUAUUUUCACCACUUUUUUAACAUUCAUUGAACAACUCUUUAACACCAAACUCAUUACCUUACAAACUCAUGGGGGAGGUGAGUUUCAACCUCUCACCACCUUUUGCAAACAACUUUGCAUUACUCACAGAUUCUCAUGUCCUCAUACACACCAACAAAAUGGCCACAUAGAAAGAAAACAUCGUCACAUUGUAGAAACGGGCCUAGCCCUCCUUGCUCACUCAUCUCUCCCGUUCUCAUAUUGGCCCGAGGCUUUUGAAACUGCGGUUUUCCUGAUCAAUCUCUUACCCACUCCUGUUCCGAAGAACAAAUCUCCCUACUCCUUGGUCUAUCAUUAAGAGUCUGAUUACAAGUUUCUUAAAGUUUUUGGGUGUGAAUGUUGGCCCAACUUUCGACCAUAUUCCUCUCACAAAUUAAAGUUCCGGUCCACGUCAUGUCUCUUCUUAGGCUACAGUCCAACACAUAAAGGCUACAAGUGUCUUGAUCUCAACUCAAAUUGCAUGUACAUUUCAUGUGAUGUCAUAUUCAAUGAAUAUUCAUUCCCUAUCUUCAAAACCAGGACCACACCAAUUUCUAACCCAUCUACCUCCCGGCCAGCCCCUCUACCUGUCCAACACAUAAAGGCUACAAGUGUCUUGAUCUCAACUCAAAUUGCAUGUACAUUUCAUGUGAUGUCAUAUUCAAUGAAUAUUCAUUCCCUAUCUUCAAAACCAGGACCACACCAAUUUCUAACCCAUCUACCUCCCGGCCAGCCCCUCUACCUGUCCUUCCCUCCUCCAUCUUAGGCCCACAUCCAAGCACCCGUUUACCUUUAUCUCCUAUCACCCCAGCUAAUCCCAAUCCCCCCCCCCCCCCCCCCAUCUCCACCCCAAUCCUCUCACCAACAUUAUCCCUUUCCUCUGAUUCUUCUCCUGCACCCCCUCCAUCCCCCGCUUUGUCUAAUCCUAAUCCUUGUCUUAUCCCACCUUGUUCCCCUAUCGUCACUCGAUCCCACCCCAAUUCAUAUCGUCCAUGGAAUUUUACUGAUGGAACCAUGCUAUACCCCACUCGCAAUUGUCUUACUGUCUAUGCAGGUGUACCAGAUGAUCCUUCAAGUUUUUCCGAGGCUAACAAACACACUGAAUGGAAGGAGGCCAUGUCCAAAGAAUACGAUGCUCUCAUUCGGAAUUAGACAUGGACUUUGGUACCACCUGUACCUCACAUGAAUGUAUUGGGAUGCCGUUGGAUCUUUCGCACCAAAACCCUAGCUGGUGGUUCUUUUAAGAGACGGAAGGCACGUCUUGUUGCGAAAGGGUUUCAUCGACCAGUUGUUAGACUUCCAUGACACAUUCAGCCCUGUAGUAAAACCCUCAAUCAUCCAGCUUAUUAUAUCUAUUGUUGUAUCUCAUGGCUGGUGCUUGCAUCAAAUUGACAUUGAAAAUGCAUUCUUACAUGGUGUGCUCACUGAUGAUGUCUAUAUGCAGCAACCUCAAGGUUUUGUGGAUCCCUCUCGGCCUUCCCACGUCUGCAAACUUGAGAGAGCUAUAUAUGGGCUUAAGCAAGCCCCACGUGCAUGGUUUGCUCAGUUAAGUUCCUAGUUCCUUGAUUACGGCUUUAUUGCUUCUAGAGCUGACCCAUCUCUUUUUAUUCUCAAUUGCAAUGAUCUUCAUAUGUACUUGCUUAUCUAUGUGGAAGAUAUAGUCAUCACAUUUUCCAAACAGUCCGCCAUCGUUGAUCUCAUUCAUGAUUUGGGACUUGCCUUUCCAGUAAAAGAUCUUGGUACUCUUAUCUUUCUUUUUUGGCAUUGAAGUUGACUACACCACUGAUGGUCUUGUCUUAUCUAAGAAAAUACAUCAAGCAACUUCUCAGCCGCAGCAAUAUGCUUCAUGCCAAACCAAUUUCGUCACCAAUGGUUGCCUCCCUAAAAUUGUCCAAAACCGAUACCCCAAAUUUUGAGGAUGUUACUCUAUAUCGCAGCAUUGUAGGAGGCUUGCAAUAUCUCUCGGUUGCACAACGAGAUAUUUCCUUCUCUGUCAACAAGGUCUUUCAAUUCAUGAGUUCCCCAAAAUCAUCUCAUUGGAGUGCAAUAAAGCGCAUACUCAGAUACUUGAAAGCCACCAUAAAUGAUGGUCUCUUCUUUGCCUCCAACUCACGUCUCAGGCUCCGAGCUUUCUUGGAUGCCAAUUGCGGAGGUUGUCCUGAUGAUCGUCGUUCCACGAGGGGGAUUUUGCAUCUAUCUUGGCAAACACUUCAUAUCUUGGAGUUCCAAAAAGCAUUAGACGGUUGCUAGGUCUUCAAUGGAAGCUGAGUACAAGUCCAUAGCUUCCUCAGCAGCUAAACUUAUUUGGUUACUAAUUGUGUUGUGUGAGCUUGGCAUUAAGCUCUUUCAAGCUCCCACUUUAUGGUGUGACAACCUAGGGGCAACAUAUCUAUCAUCUAAUCCAGUUUUUCACUCAAGAACAAAACACAUGGAUAUUGUUUUUCAUUUUGUUCGAGUUCGGGUGGCUGCGAACUCGCUUAAAGUUUCUUUCAUUAGCUCCCAAGAUCAAAUUGCAGUUGUCUUGACAAAACCAUUGGUUUCUGACAAAUUUCUUCGGUUCAAAUCGAGUCUCUAUGUUAUUGAUACAUCGUUGAACUCGAAGGGGCGUACUAAGCUAUAUAACCCAGCUGCACACAAGGAGGCCUUUUCACAAACAGUUGGUGCACAGGAAUCAACAUCUCUGUAAUUAGUUAUGGCUGUUCAUUGUAUUAUUCCUUUUUUCUGUUUUAUAUGACCAAUCUGUUACAAAUUGUUUUCUGUUAUUCAAUAUUCCUUUUGCUGUAUAUAUAUACCUUCAAUUAUCAAUGAGAACUGUGCAAGAACAGUUCCAGAUAUUCAGUAUCUUUCAUUCGGCCAUUCCUGCUACCCUUCUUCAAUUCUAGUCUCUUAACAGUGCACUUAAAAACAUUUUUUUAGAUUCAAUGAAAACCAAUACUAUAACUUGUCCGAAUUGUCUCUUUGUUUGCAUAUGGCAGUGAAGGGUCCUAAAAGUCCUAAUCAUUCUUUUGUUUUUUAUUUUGAAUUUUGACAGAUAACAGAUGUUUUGUGUUUAUUUCUCCCUCUUGUAUGAGAACUUGAAAUUAUUCACAUGUAUGAACUCUUUUUCAUUAGCUUACACCAAGAGAUCAGUUCUGGGCCUUUUUGCAUGUUCUCUGCUCUUGCAUUUUGGUUUUCAAUCAAAAUCAUUGUCCUUCGCUAACAGAGUCCUUCCUAUGUCUUCAACUGCUUGAGAAUCUCAAAAUGAGACCAAAUGGAAAUUUAUGUAUAUGUAAAUUCUAAACAAAUAAAUGAUCAAUUAAAUGAUCACUUUUGAAAGGUCCUACUUAAAAUUAUUACUAUUAUAGCAGAACCAACUUUUAAAGUGUAUCUACUUCUGAAUUUGCAUGCACUUCCCUCUGCACCGAUACGUGUCAAAUUUUUUGCAAAUCAAGAAGAGACUCAUUUGAUUGACUUCGCUGGUGGUGAACAACGUGUCAAAGUUUUUAUUGAAGAAUCUUCCUACACAAGAGAGGAGGAGGCUGGCCGCUACCCUGUUUGUCUCUCAAUAUUUGAACCUCAACAGAAUGACGUUUGGUACGCCAAAGGGUUUGGUUUUGAGGAUUAUGUCAAUGCUGUGUUCCUCCUCAUCGUUGUACUUCAUGGCAUCACAAGCAAAUCCACAACUCUUCUGUGUAAGGUUCGCGAUUGCAUCCAUGUCUAUGGUGGCUGUUUGGAGUUUCAUUUUACUUCUUGCCGAAGGAUUUUCUUUGUUCAUUUGGCAGUUACCUCGUCCAAGAAAAGUUGUGAUUCUUACCGUUGCAUUGGAUUGGAUAUUGGCGCAUAUAUCAAUGGCAGCAGCUGGUCAAACCAUCUCUGUGGUUGCUUUUCUGUCGCGGACUACAAGGAGCCCCCCGUGUCCUUCUACUUUGUGUACAGCAUAUUUGUUAUCUUGCAUUCUAGGUUUCUUUUCAUGGUUCUUUUUGUUUGUGCCUGCUGUGUUAAAUUUCUAGAUGAAUGAUCUCUCAAAUUGGAAAAUUGGUUAUAUAUACUUCUAAGCAUAUAUGGUUUGUCA